ensembl:lncRNA
UGAAUUAGAUAGCACAAUUUUAUAAAUCUUAAAACAUUCUAUAAAAUACUAGAUAUCAUAAAAAUACACAUUUGAUAAAUGCCCGGAAAACAAUAGGGGUGCUCCGAUUGAUCGGCUACCGAUCACAAUCGGUUGAUAACUCAAUUUUGCCAGCACAUGUCACAUAUGCUGCUUGAUUUUUACUUGAGAGUGGUCAGAUUUAAAGUCUGAUAUUAGUCCAUCAGUUCUUAAACUUCAAUUUUUGUUUGUGUGUGUAUGUGUGCUCCAAACAAGAAUGUCUGUCUCAGAAGCUGAAGGAAAGAGGCCACACCUCAGAGGAAAUAAAUAAGCGCCUCCUAAGUGUGCGAAAAUACCUGGCUGAGAAGAUCAGUGACAUAAACCGGAUAAAAACUGUCAUUGGUCUAAGCCAGCCACAGUGAAGCCACAAACACACUUCAUAAUUCCUGUAUCUCUAUAAUACAUUAAUUAAUAAUAAUAAUAAAAAUAUCUUAUGGAAUUUUGCCUCUUUGUUGCCAUCUCUGUUUGAAAACCUGCAAUUGCAGCUGUGUGCGGAAUUAUCUUCCUUGUGUGGGUUGUGAGUCAGCACAGCUCCGAAUCUAAUAUUUUGAGGAGUUUGUGUGGCAGUCAAAUCACUGCAUCGGUGUGGAUAUUGUACUUUGCAUUCUAUCCUACAUCUUGGAAUAUAUGACCCAGAUAAGCAUUUUUCAUCGGAUAUUGUCAUCUGAACAAGUAAGUAACAAGUCUGCCACAUUUGUUCUGACCAACUGAGGAAAAAAGCAUUACAA